CUUAUCGAGUACCAAGUAGAUGGCAGGCCUUCCACAGUGGCAGGGGACACGAGGCCCAGACUCUGUGUGAAAGAUGUUUCCUGUGAGCUGGAGAGGCAGAUAGCUCAGCGGACUCCCAUUUCGGCAUGGCCAAGAACCGUCCUCAGACAAAUCUUGUACUUUUUACUCCUGAGUUCAAGGUCCCGGCUGUGGUUGUCGUCUUCCUGGCAGACGUGUUUCCCUUGCACUGUUUAUGUCAGAUGCCCUCCGUGUACCAGGGAGCUGACACCCGGCACCUGGAUCCGCAGCCGCUCUUCUCUCAGCCCCCGCAAUCGAAGGAGCCGAAGCUGCAUCCCAGGAAAGUCCCUCGGAUCUCUGUCAUUCCCAGAUUGGCCUGACCCAAGGCAGAGCUGGGAAAGACAGCAGCCACCUUCCUGUUCUCACCGGGCGAUCUCCGAGUCCAGAGAGGAGGGUUCUUGGCCUGGCUCUGACGGUCUGUGUGCACAUGGAUGGAUGGCUAAGACUUCUGUAUUUCACUUUGCGUUUCGGUUUGCCGAAGAGGGGGGGCAGUGGGCUCUGCUACACAGAGGAUUCAGCAGGAUCAGAGAUAUGGAUUUUCUUUGCUGCUGACAUUUCAAUGAUGAGAAUGAGAACACCAGUGGGAGGGACUGUGCGGUGGUGGUGGUGGGGGAGCUGGAGUUGAGGCAGAGCAGGGAAGUGGCCCUGGGUUCCCCUCACUGAGGACAGAGCUCACAGUCAUCGUGGCUGUGACAUUUUCCCCACUCCUGUUUCAGGUAGUGGGAACCCCGCAUCCCCAGGGAAAGCAUCACUUUUUGGGGGAUACCCUCCCUGUCUGCCCAGGAAGGCCAACUUCCUGUUACAGCCUUCUCCAGCUACCUGUAUUUUUCUAAACAGGUAACACCAUAGUAACAAUUGGUGUGGCCUGGCCGUGUCUCCCCAGCAGAAGUCAGCACUGGCCCUUCUUCAGAGGCCGGGGUGGGGGGGCCUGGCUCAGAGGCACUCAGUAGCAGUUUUGCUGCCAUCUUGUAGGUUCUCUGAGUGCCAGCUGCCUCACCAGGCUCCUGGGGGAGCCCAGAAGAUAGAAGACGUGGCCUGCAGGUGUGAGGGGCUGGGAUGAAUGGACUGCUCUGGGAAGAGCUGCAGCUCAGACUGCAGGAGUGGAAUGCCCUGACCAAGACCGUGCAGCAUGACCUUUGGCCUCCAGGGAAUGGAGGAAGUGGUGUGGGUCAAUCUGGAACUCCAGAGGCUAGGGGCACUGCUCACUCUUUCUUUCUUCCUUUAUUUGUUUAUUUAUUUAUUUGAAAGGCAGAGUAUCAGAGAUAGACGGAGAGAGAGACUGGCCUUCCACUUGCUGGUUCACUGGCUGGAACAGCCAGUGCUGAAACAGACCAAAGCCAGCAGCCUAGAACUCCAUCCGGGUCUCCCAUGUGGGUGGCAAGGGCCCAAGCACUUGGGCCAUCACUGCCGUAUCCCAGGCGUACUAGCAGGGAGCUGGAACAGAAGCGGAGCAGCCAGGAUUCCAACCUGCACUCCCAUAUGGGAUGUUGCUGACAUUUGUGGUAGCUUCAUCCACUGUCGGAGCGCUGGCCCCACGCACUCCCUCUUGGGGCCUGUAGCUGCAGCUCAGGAACCAGUGCUGAAGUCAGCCUCUGCCACCUCCCACCUGCCCCUUUGCUUCCAUCUCCUGGCGCUUGCACACUCUCCUCCCUACACCUGCCAUGGGGAGCUCACGCUUUCCUCAACAGCCUGAGUCUCCCUCUGCACGGGUCGUGCCCUCUCUUAACGCACAUCCCCUUUUCUACCAGGAAAAUGCAAGACUCAACUGAGCUGCACGUUCUUCCUCCUGGGAAGCCUUCCAGGCCCCUGCUUGGAGCCCUGCAGCCCCUGGACAGCCUUCUCUCUACGCAGUGGUGUACUGACCACACUCAGACGCUGUGCUGCUUUUCCUUUGUUCCCCUCGGCCAUAACCAACCAGAAGCUUCUGGAAGGCAGGGAUCCACUCAGUUCCUCUCUGUGGCCCCAGUGUCCAGCAGGGCCCGGCUCCAAGGAGAGAUCUUGCAUAACCUGGCACCCGGGUUCUGGGCAGGAGACGCUAUUCUGUUGUAUCUCAAAUGAUCAUCCUGGUUUAGGCAACGUUUGAGAGGAAGUUCAAGGACAGGGCUGAUCUUAUUUAUUUACCUUCCAGGAAAUGGAGGCCCACGAAGAGGUAGGGAUUUGCCCAAGGUCCUACAGCACGUCAGCCACCAGGGGUCCUGAUGCCUGGUCCCCAGCACAUCAAGCCAGGGCCAAGAGGCUACAGGAGCCCAGGCCCUGCCGCUGCUCACUGCACCCUGGUUCAGUCCCUCUGGCCGGGCUCUCAGCCAACAGCAGCAUGAGGCUCAGGCUGCCCCUGCCAAAGGUUGUGCUGUCAGCAGUCUGGGGGAGGUGACCAGGCCACUUCCCUGUGGGCAGCUGAGACCCAGCAAGACUUGGAGCAGCGCCUCCACGGGGUCAUGGGCUCUGGGGACAGUCUCCAGACAGACAGCGCCCUUCUUGACAACCGGAUUAGAUAGAACCUGAUUAGACUUGAGGUUAACAGUCCGGAGUGCAUGGAGCAGAGCCCAGCAUGGGCUAUGUGCUCAAUGAACAGGCAUCCGCAUAGCACCGUUACUACUACUAUGAAGCAGAGGAAAGCCCACACAGUUCAGUGGCUAAACGCACUGACCCUGAUGCGUGUCAAUAAGACACAGUCAGGCUGCAUCACUUACCAAGUUACGCACGUUUUUAAAAUCUUCUUUUAAAAAAGAUUUAUUUUAUUUACCUGAAAGGCAGAGUUAUAGAGAGAGAGGGAGAGAGACAGAGAGAUCUGCCAUCUGCCAGGUCACUCCCCAAAUGGCUGCAACAGUCAGAACUGGAUCAGGCCAAAGCCAGGAGCCAGGAGUUCCACCCAGGUGUCCUACAUGGGUGCAGGGGCUCGAGUACUUGGACCAUCUUUUGCUGCCUUUAUAGGUGCAUUUGCAGGGAGCUCGAUCAGAAGUGGAGUAGACAGGGCCGGCAUGUGGAAUGCAGACAGUGGCUUAACUCGCUAUGCCACAGCGCCGGCCCCUGUUUUUGUAUCUUUAAAAAGAGGGAGCAUUUAGCACAGUGGUUAAGGUGCCAGUGUCCCAAAUAGGAGUAGGAGUACCUGGGUUCAAUUCCCAGCUCCAGCUCCUAAUUCCAGCUUCCUGCUGGUGCAAACCCUGGGAGGCAGCGGUGCUGGCUCAAGUGGGUCCUUGCCACCCAUUUGGGUGACCUGGAUUGAGCUCCUUACUCCCGGCUUUGGCUUGGCCCAGCCCUUGCUGAUGCACACAUUUAGGGAGUAAGCCAGUAAACAGGAGCUCUCUCCCUGUGCCUCUCACUGCCUUUCACAUAAAUACGUAAAUUUUUAUAAAGGGGCGGGCAUUUGGCGCAUCAAUUAGGACACUGUUUGGGAUGCAUCCCACAUUGGAAUCUCCAGGUUUGUGUCUUGGCUUCCCUUCCCAUCCAGCUUCCUGUUAAUGUGCAACAGGGGGAGGGGGCUGUUGCUGUGACGGGUUAAGUCGCCGCCUGCAGUGCCUGCAUCCUGUACGGGUGCUGGUUUGAGUUGGCUGCUCCACUCUGAUCCAGCUCUCUGCUGUGGCCUGGGAAAGUGGUAGCAGAUGGUCCAAAUGCUUGGACCUCUGUGCCCAUGGGGGAGACCCCGAGGAAACUACUGGCUCCUGGCUUUGGAUCAGCACAGCUCCAGCCAUCGUAGCCAUCUGGGGAGUGAACCAGCGGAUAGAAGACCACCACCCCCCCCACACUUCUCUGUAACUCUGCCCUUCAAAUAAAUAAAUAAAUCUAAAAAAAUGUGCAACUGGGAGGCAGCAGGGGAUGGUCUGAAUACGUGGGUACCUGCCAUCUACAUGGGAUAUCCUGAUUAAGUCGUGGGCUCCUGGCUUCAACCUGGCUCAAUCCUGGCUGUUGUGGGCAUUUAGGGAGUGAACCAGCAGAUGGGAGCUUUCUCUCUCUCUGCUCGUCAAGUAGAUAAAAAUAAAUAUAUAAGCAUUUUUUUAAAGCAGGAGGGGACAUGGGGGAAGCUGAGCAAGCAUUUGUGGGUGGUGAAAGAGGGAACGGCACCAGCUCCUGCAGGGCACGGAGCGUGGGGAAGCAGAGCACGUUCCAGGGGCAAGGCAUCUGCGUGUGGCUGGAACAGGAGAGGAGUGGCGGGUGGCAGAGAGAAGGGCUGGGGAGGCGAAAGCAGACCCUAGCCUUAUGCUAAGGAGUAUGCACGUGUCUUGUAUGCACGCUAAGUACUGAAGCUUUCCAAGCAGGGAAGGAUGAUGUGAUUGGUUUGUGUUUGUCAUGGAAUGGAGAGAGGAUCAGAGCGGAGCAGCCGGACUGGAACCAGGCACUCAGAUCUCAAUCAGCAGCUUCACCCUGCCGUCCAGCAAGGCUCAGCCUAGUAGUCGCCCCUUGUCUGCAGUCUCAGUUCCCUGAGGCCAACCAAGCUCGGAAAAUAUUAAAUGGAAAAUUCCAGAAACA